rnacentral:hammerhead_ribozyme from 1 species
AUCUAGCUGAAGAGUUCCAAAUAGGUCGAAAUGCGUGUCCUGGAU